GGACAGAUGGCCGAGUGGUUAUGGCGUGUGACUCAAGAUCUAAUCUUGUCAGCUAGAAGCUGAAACAAUUCUCAUGGGCUUCGCCCGCAGGGGUUCGAAUCCCCUUCUGUUCA